CUACGGGCCGCACCAGUGGGGAAUAUUGGACAAUGGGCGAAAGCCUGAUCCAGCAAUGCCGCGUGAGUGAUGAAGGCCUUCGGGUUGUAAAGCUCUGUCAGAAGGAAAGAAAGCCUUACUUCGGUAAGGAUUGACGGUACCUUCAAAGGAAGCACCGGCUAACUCUGUGCCAGCAGCCGCGGUAAUACAGAGGGUGCAAGCGUUGUUCGGAAUUACUGGGCGUAAAGCGCGUGUAGGCGGCUUGAUAAGUCGGGCGUGAAAGCCCUUGGCUCAACCAAGGAAUUGCACUCGAUACUGUCAGGCUAGAGUCUCGGAGGGGAUGGCGGAAUUCCCGGUGUAGAGGUGAAAUUCGUAGAUAUCGGGAGGAACACCCGUGGCGAAGGCGGCCAUCUGGAAGACGACUGACGCUGAGACGCGAAAGCGUGGGUAGCAAACAGGAUUAGAUACCCGAGUAGUC
rnacentral:rRNA from 1 species